GAUGAACGCUGGCGGCGUGCCUAAUACAUGCAAGUCGAGCGAACAGACGAGGAGCUUGCUCCUCUGGCGUUAGCGGCGGACGGGUGAGUAACACGUGGAUAACCUACCUAUAAGACUGGGAUAACUUCGGGAAACCGGAGCUAAUACCGGAUAAUAUAUUGAACCGCAUGGUUCAAUAGUGAAAGACGGUUUUGCUGUCACUUAUAGAUGGAUCCGCGCCGCAUUAGCUAGUUGGUAAGGUGACGGCUUACCAAGGCGACGAUGCGUAGCCGACCUGAGAGGGUGAUCGGCCACACUGGAACUGAGACACGGUCCAGACUCCUACGGGAGGCAGCAGUAGGGAAUCUUCCGCAAUGGGCGAAAGCCUGACGGAGCAACGCCGCGUGAGUGAUGAAGGUCUUCGGAUCGUAAAACUCUGUUAUUAGGGAAGAACAAAUGUGUAAGUAACUAUGCACGUCUUGACGGUACCUAAUCAGAAAGCCACGGCUAACUACGUG
rnacentral:rRNA from 1 species